rnacentral:rRNA from 1 species
AUGUCUCAGGUGGAGGGCCCCGCCACCGAGCCAAGUAGGUUGGAUGCGAUUGGGGCGCAUUCCUCGAUUAUGCAGCCGAGCAUGCACGACGUGGGUCUCGCCCCUACAUUGGACGGGCCGGAUGGCAAGUCUGCACCGGAAGCCGAAGCUUACCUGAAAAUGAAGGCGUUCUGCACCAGUAUCAUCCUGAGACUUGCGCCACCGCUCAUCCAUGAGGUCCAGGCAUCACAACUGCGCCCAGAGGCAAAGCCCUUCAUGCCCAGGUGCACCACAUGUGCUGCCAAGUGCUUGGCGCGGCACACGUGCAAGGUCUCUCCCGCUGAAAACAUGCUCCUCUGUGCUCUCGACAUCGCGGCCGAAGAUCUCUAG